rnacentral:rRNA from 1 species
CGGGGGGCAGCAGUCGAGAAUAAUUCACAAUGGGGGCAACCCUGAUGGUGCAACGCCGCGUGGAGGAUGACGGUCUUCGGAUUGUAAACUCCUGUCAUCUGGGAGUAAGACCUGGCGGUAAAUAGCCGACAGGGUUGAUAGUACCAGAAGAGGAAGGGACGGCUAACUUCGUGCCAGCAGCCGCGGUAAUACGAAGGUCCCGAGCGUUGUUCGGAAUCACUGGGCGUAAAGGGAGCGUAGGCGGCGUGGUAAGUCAGAUGUGAAAUCCCGGGGCUCAACCCCGGAACUGCAUCCGAUACUGCCGUGCUUAGAGGAUUGGAGAGGUAGCUGGAAUUCUUGGUGUAGCAGUGAAAUGCGUGGAUAUCAAGAGGAACACUCGUGGCGAAAGCGAGCUACUGGACAAUUCCUGACGCUGAGGCUCGAAGGCUAGGGUAGCGAAAGGGAUUAGAUACCCGAGU